rnacentral:rRNA from 1 species
CUAAGCGCACCUGGUGGAUGCCUUGGCAGCUGAAGGCGAUGAAGGACGUGGUAGCCUGCGAUAAGACUCGGUGAGCCGGCAAACAGGCUUUGACCCGGGUAUUUCCGAAUGGGGAAACCCGGCCUCCUUAUGGAGGUCAUCGUGCACUGAAUACAUAGGUGUACGAGGCGAACGCGGGGAACUGAAACAUCUAAGUACCCGCAGGAAAGGAAAUCAAUUGAGACUCCCUGAGUAGAGGCGAUCGAAAGGGGACCAGCCCUUAAGCUGCUUGGUCUUUAGGAGAACGGUCUGGAAAGUCCGGCCAUAGCGGGUGAUAGCCCCGUAUG